GACCGGAUAAAGUUAAAGAGCCGCGGUACGUUGACCGUGCAAAGGUAGCAUAGUCAUUAGUUUUUUAAUUGAAAACUUGUAUGAACGGUUCGACAAAGGAAAGACUGUCUUUAUAUUAAGUAUUGAAUUUAACUCUUAAGUGAAAAGGCUUAAAUAGUUCAGGGGGACGAUAAGACCCUAUAAAGCUUUAUAUGUUAGAUACAUAGAACUAAAUUACAGAAAUAAAAGUUAGUUGUAAAUAAUUUAUUUUGUUGGGGCGACAAAGAUAAAAAUUUUGAGUAACUGUUAUUAAUUUGAAAACAUUAAUGGUUGAGGUAAGGGUAAAGGAUCCUUANUAAAGAUCUUAAAAUCAAGUUACUUUAGGG
rnacentral:rRNA from 1 species